CGGCACCGUGCUCGGGGCGGCGGCCCGGAGACGGGCGGAGCCGGCGGGGUUACGGUGGCCGCGUCCGAGUCCCUGAACGGGCCUUCAGCCAGCGGGUGCCGCCUCACAAAUAAUACCGUGAUGUCAAAUGUUGGCUAGGAAGAUCUCCCUGGGAGAGACUCAGCACUUAGCAGACAGAUUGUCCAAGGGGUGCAACAAAGCAGCUAAUGGCUGUCAUCAGGGAAAAACUAUACAGAAGCAGUAUUUUUUCUGUCUGCAGGGAAGGUCUGCACCUCCCCUACAGACACAACCCAGGCACAGCUUCUCCAUCCAUCCCCUAUGAUCCGAUGUGCCAGGCAGAGCUGACCAGCUGAAAAGGAGGUCACAAAACAGGAGCCAGCACUGCUCCAAAACACAUCACAUGACUCAUGCUCAGGAAAAAAGUGCAUCACGUGCAUACUCAGGAAAAAAGAGCUGGAGGGGUUUGGCUGUAACUGAGUUCCCAGUCAGAUGGACAAGUUGUCCCUCCUCCUCUCCCUCCCUCUUCCCUUCACCACCCCCCACGCCCCAAUGUAUAAUGCUUUGUUCUACAUAGUCAUUGUAAUCUAGCAUAAACCUGGAUGGCCACUGGGAAGGGUAGUCCCACACUUCCUGUUCAACCUGAUCAACUGCUCACUCCCUGCUCCCUUGCUCCAGCACUUCUGUAAUGACAGCGUCAGAUAAUCAGGGAAAUGAUCCAGCUGUAAACUAAUGCAAGGAAAAAAGUUAACAUCUGGGGACAUAACAGACAUUUCAAGGCCCAACUAACUGGAAGGAGACCAAAGAAGCUGACAUGGCUGGGCUCCAGGAUCCAGCCGCCCUGUUACAAGGCAGGCAAAACAUUCCUAAGAGAACUCUUACCCGAGCUCAAGAUGAGCUCAGAAUAGUGACCACAAAGUUUGUUUGUGGCUGGACCCAUUUGUAAUAAACUGGCAUCCAUCCAGAAAUUUCAAAACAGGCCAGUUUUUCCUUUUACAAAUUGUUUAGUUUAGUUUUGAGGUAAUAGCAGCUUAAAUGUAAAGUUACAAAAGAGGAACACAAUAAAAUACCCCAGAAUUUAUUACAUGGUGAAAGUCUCACAGAGAAGAUGCUACAUAAUGGAACCCCCAAGUCUAGCUUUUCUACAGUAACAGGAUCGUAUCCUUGGCUGUAUUUGAAGCCUUUAUUUUUCAUGGCAUCACCGACAUAAACAGUCCUGUAAACAACAAGUCUCUCUAACAGCUUGUCUUACUACCUACAUAGCCAUUUAUUCAAGUAUAAAGGUUAAAUUAAAAAUAAAUGAAAGCAACUGAUGCAUGAGUGCACUCUGGCAAAAAAACAAGUUCCCAAAGACGGAUGGGGACAUUGCUGAAGAUGAGAAGGUAACCAAGUGAAUAAACACCAACUGCUGUCUUAGCCUUACUUAUGAGAAAUCUGUUGCAGCAGGUAACUGGAAGCCUUUACAUGGUAAACAGUAAGGUUUACUUCUUUCUUUCUGUCUUUGUAGCCCGAUCAGAGAUCUCUGCAGAGGUCUCUGUCAAAAGACUCAUUUUUAGCCUGAUUUCCUAAGGAAAAAAGGCUUAUGCAAUUACAGUGUCUGUUGGUA